AGAGUUUGAUCCUGGCUCAGAUUGAACGCUGGCGGCAUGCCUUACACAUGCAAGUCGAACGGCAGCACGGGCUUCGGUCUGGUGGCGAGUGGCGAACGGGUGAGUAAUAUAUCGGAACGUACCUUUCAGUGGGGGAUAACGUAGCGAAAGUUACGCUAAUACCGCAUAUUCUGUGAGCAGGAAAGCAGGGGAUCGCAAGACCUUGCGCUGAUUGAGCGGCCGAUAUCAGAUUAGCUAGUUGGUGAGGUAAAGGCUCACCAAGGCGACGAUCUGUAGCGGGUCUGAGAGGAUGAUCCGCCACACUGGAACUGAGACACGGUCCAGACUCCUACGGGAGGCAGCAGUGGGGAAUUUUGGACAAUGGGGGCAACCCUGAUCCAGCCAUGCCGCGUGAGUGAAGAAGGCCUUCGGGUUGC
rnacentral:rRNA from 1 species